CGUGCAUAGGGUCAAGUGCUAGUGCUAGUAUUGCUAAAUUGUUUGUUAUUUUGGUUGCUAGGAGACAUCUCUGUUGAAAACCGAACAUCGGCUGAGCAAAUAAGAGAAGUUUUGAAAGGAACGCAGACUCUUUAUUUAAUUGUUUUCUUCUUUUAAAAGUCUUAUGAAGGAAACAGCUGCUGUUGUCGUUUCUAUGGUAACACCGCCUCUAGUCAUUUACCACGAACUCCCGCGGAUUUAAAGAUUCUACAGAUCUUACUACUGAAUAUACUGAUGGAUUCUCGGAUCUCUGUGAAUUUAAGUCUAGGCCAGUUCGUUACCUCAUUGCUGGUUCUCAAGCAUGGUGUGUGGAAGGCCUGAGAAACAUCAGCUAGCUCCAAUAAGAAGAGCAAUGUCCACCUUAAAUGAUGAGCUACUAGACAUCACUCGGAAGGCUUUGCCAAACAUUGAUGAAAAGACCCAAGUAAAGCUUAUUUCUACACUAAAGAAGUGUGGUGUAGAAUUUAAAGGAGACUUGCAGUAUGGACGUCAAGAAGACAUUGAUGGCCUCUUGCCAGUUAUUCAACUUCACAAGUUACUGGAGGCAUUUAGAUUAGAGACAGAGACCGUGUCUCUGCAGUUAAUUUCUUGCCCGUCACUGAUGCCUGAUGCCUGGCCCAUCUUCACAUACCAGCCCAUCAACAAGUGCUUUCUUGUCAUGUCCUUCCGGCUCAUCACCUCACACAAACACAUCUUCAAUUUCAUCAUAUCCUGAGGUUGAUUGUACAGGCCCAAUAACUCUAUCUUCUUUCACUGUGUCCAAAUCAUGGCCCAAGACAUUUCAUUUCCCUUUGGAAAAAAUGCCCCAAGAAAUCCAUUCAGCAGUUUCUGCUGGGAGGAGGCCUUAGCCUCCAGAGAGGCGCCAAAUGGUAAGAAUCCUAGCGGAUGAGAUGUGCAAAUAUGAGCUUAACCCUUCACGAUCACACACCAUAUGUUUUCAUCACAUUCUGCACACAAGUGACAUGGAUGUGUAAGAUUUCAGCCUCAGAUCCCACCUGAAGAAACUGAACAGACACUGGAAAACAAGUGACUGAGACUAGAAGAAAUUUACAAAAAGGAGGGCAUGGGUGGAGUGGAGAGAGCAGAGGUGAUGAAUACAGUGGUGGCUACAUACUGCUGUCAACGACAGUAUAUUAAUGCAUCACCAUCCCCCUCCACUGAAGAAGUCAGGAGCCAAUGGCCUUAUCUUUUCCAUUUAGUCCAUCUUUACUCAUUUUCAACUCCUAACUGACAUUAAUGUUCUGCGUUCCCUGGAGCUUUCCAUGGAUCAAAGUGGAAGAUCAAUCAUUGAAUACUUUAACAAAUCAAAUGAUAAAAAUGUCAAAGCUCUCAGUCUCAUGCUGAGGAUGUUGAGGUGGAACUCCAUGUUGUGAAGUUACUGAUGGCACACUUUAAAGAAAACACAGAAGGACUACAGUAUUUUGCUGAUCUAAGGAAUCUGUUCUUUUCUGUACACCUCCAAAUUUUCUUUUUAAAUUGAAUAUUUAUUGGUUUUCAAAGGUAUUAUACAUACAAAUUGACACAAGUUAAGAGUAAUGGAGAAAUUGUAACACCUCCAGAUGUUAUUCUAACAUUUAUUUUAUUCCCUACAGGCAUCUGCCAGUGCAGUAGACAUUGAGAGGACCCUUAGUUGACCUGCAAGUCCUCAUCUCAUACUGCUUGUGUACUACGUUUUCAAUGUACAGUACCAGGAGGAGGCAUGCUGUGCACUGGAAUUCAUUCAGAGGCACUUUAUUGGUAUAAACCCAGAAAGGGAGUCUAAAACCAGCUGGGCCAAAGUGGUCUGAAAGAGGACUGGGUAAAUGGUCCUAAAGAAGACUGUCACAGUCAAUCCCCAUGACUUCACCCUACUGAAGAAACUCAUAGACUUUGAAUGGAGUUUCAUUUAGAGAAGUCAGCAGUAAGUUAAUAUUAUCUCUCUCUCUCUCUCUCUCUCUCUCUCUCUCACACACUCACACACACACUUACAUUGUCACCUAUAGUCAAACUCCAAUUCUCACAAUCUUUUGACAAACUCUCAUGCAUUCAUUGUGACGUCAUGCUGACAUUCAACUUAAAGGGCAAGUCUUGUUUUUGCUUAAUUUUUUUUAGCUGAUUUAUGUGAAUUUUGUUCUUGAACUUUAUUUCAGUUUGUAAUGCUGCCAUUUUAUUGUCAUUUUUGAUGCUGUAAUUUUGAUAUCUAAUGUUUUCAGUUGAAUGUAAUAUGGCAAAAACUCUGUUUAGACUAUUGAAGACUAUUUGUUGACAACCAAGUUUUAAAUAAAAAUGUA